rnacentral:rRNA from 1 species
CGGAGGGUGCAAGCGUUGCUCGGAAUUAUUGGGCGUAAAGGGUUGGUAGGUGGUCUCAUUUGUCUGGGGUGAAAGCCUUGAGCUUAACUCAAGAAGUGCCCCAGAAACGGUGAGACUCGAGUCCUGGAGAGGGUCGUGGAAUUCCCGGUGUAGCGGUGAAAUGCGUAGAGAUCGGGAGGAACACCAGAGGCGAAGGCGGCGACCUGGACAGGUACUGACACUCAACUACGAAAGCGUGGGGAGCAAACAGGAUUAGAUACCCUGGUAGUCCACGCUGUAAACGAUGGGUACUAGAUUUGGUGGGUCUUGACCCCUGCCGAGUCGGAGCUAACGCAAUAAGUACCCCGCCUGGGAAGUACGGUCGCAAGACUA